GAUGAACGCUGGCGGCGUGCCUAAUACAGGCAAGUCGAGCGAACAGACGAGGAUCUUGCUCCUGUUACGUUAGCGGCGGACGGGUGAGUAACACGUGGAUAACCUACCUAUAAGACUGGGAUAACUUCGUGAAACCGGAGCUAAUACCGGAUAAUAUAUUGAACCGCAUGGUUCAAUAGUGAAAGACGGUUUUGUUGUCACUUAUAGAUGGAUCCGCGCCGCAUUAGCUAGUUGGUAAAGUAACGGAUUACCAAGGCAACGAUACGUAGCCGACCUGAGAGGUGUGUCGCACCCCCUGGAACUUAGACUCGGUUUAGACUCCUACGGGACGCACCGUUACGGAAUCUUCCGCAAUGGGCUCAAGCCUGACGGAGCAACCCCGCCUCCGUGCUGAAAGCCUCCGGUUCGUACAACCCCCUUAUUAGGUUUGCACACAUGUCCAAUUAACUAUGCACAUCUUGACGGUACCUUCUCAGAACGCCACGGCUAACUACGUG
rnacentral:rRNA from 1 species